rnacentral:rRNA from 1 species
GAUGAACGCUAGCGGCAGGCUUAAUACAUGCAAGUCGAGGGGCAGCAUGAUUGUAGCAAUACAAUUGAUGGCGACCGGCAAACGGGUGCGGAACACGUACACAACCUUCCAACAAGUGGGGGAUAGCCCAGAGAAAUUUGGAUUAAUACCCCGUAACAUAGCGAUGUGGCAUCACAUUGCUCUUAUAGAUUUUUCGCUUGUUGAUGGGUGUGCGGCUGAUUAGAUAGUUGGCAGGGUAACGGCCCACCAAGUCUACGAUCGGUAGCUGAUGUGAGAGCAUGAUCAGCCACACGGGCACUGAGACACGGGCCCGACUCCUACGGGAGGCAGCAGUAAGGAAUAUUGGACAAUGGACGCAAGUCUGAUCCAGCCAUGCCGCGUGAAGGAUUAAGGUCCUCUGGAUUGUAAACUUCUUUUAUAAGGGACGAAAAAAGGCUUUUCUAAGUCGUCUGACGGUACCUUAUGAAUAAGCACCGGCUAACUCCGUGCCAGCAGCCGCGGUAACAC